CAUCAAUUGUUUAUUAUUGUUUUUAUGGUAAACUAAGUUGAACAAGACUAUGGCAAAACCAUAUGCAGCAGUUUUUUUUGUUGGACAAGACUCGUAUUCUGAAAUUCCGAGCAAUUGGCUUCAAAAUUACAAUGAUCCUGAAGGAAAAAAGACGGUGUCAAUGGCCACCCUCAUUCGCUAAAAAUCUACAGCAAUUGUUAAAACAGAGAGUUGAACCAAAUGAUGAUUGGCCUAUUCAUGAAGUUGAGAUUCUAAGAUAUUGUGAUACUCUGGCUGCAGCAAGAAAAGCUGCCGAAGAUUCGGAAUAUGAGUCAACGACCGAAAAACCAUUGGGAAGAGGAUUUAGAUCGAAGCGACCUACUGCUGUUGCUGCGGCUGCUGUUAAAUAAAAAAACAACAUAGUAUUUGACAGUUCUGAUAAUGACAGCAAUGAUAGGACAAAUAAAUCAGCUCCUCAAAUGCCUCCAAUGCCUGUGAUCCCUGCAAUUGAAAAUCAGACAAAGAUUCCGUUUGCUGCAAAAACAUUGUCGUCUGUGCGUAAAAUGAAUGAAACUAAUGAUGUUCAAUCAAUGCAAGAACAUUUUGAAGACAAGUCAAGAACCGCUGGUUUUAAAAACGAUAAGAAUAAUAAAAAUCAUGUUCCAUCCGACUUGGAAAUUGAAGAAGAUGACGACAAUCGCUUCAAUAUACUGAAUGGUAUGAACCAAAACAAGUCGAAAAGAAAACUAAGCCUCCAAACAAUAACAAUACCGAAUCAUAAGAACUAACAAGUUUCCCGAGUAAGUGAAUUCAAGCAAAUUCACACUAUAUCCAUUCAAUGUAAGAUUUAUACUAGUAUAUAAUCCAAAAAGUGAAAAUAUUUUAUUUAGUAUUAGUAUGACUGAUUAAAAUAUUCUAUAAUUAAACUUUUGAUUGUUGAUAUUUUCACUUUUUGGAUUGUC